AAGAAGCCCUACUCUACUCCAACUCAAACGUGUUUGAGGGCUCUUAACUUCUCUCUAGUUUAUAUUGUUAUUUAUCUGCUUUUGAGAAGCUCUGUUUUUCUGUUUGUUGUCAUUAUUUCCAUCUUGUCUUUGCUUGGUUCAAUCGGGGGAUUGAAUCAAGGGUGUAGAGGUUGGUUGGUGAGCCGAGUGUAAAACCAACGUGUAAGGGUUCGAUUGUGAUCCCGGGAAAACAAUCGGAGUGGUUCUAGUCGGUGAGCCAGGAAAAACCGACCGAGUUCGUUUUGAGCUCGUAAAACAACAAGUUUGGUUGUGAGCUUGUAAAACAACCGGCUGUAAUCCAAGGGGUUAUAGUGAAUUCCCAAGUGAGACUUGGGGAGUAGACGUAGGAGCAAGGGUUAGCUCCGAACCACUAUAAAAGCCUUGUGUUUGUGAUUGUUUGUCUCUUUCUUUUACUCUCAUUUCAUUCACAGCACAUAGCAAUUAAUUAAUCAUCUUGGUAAAGCAUUA
rnacentral:lncRNA from 1 species